CCCAGUUCGGACUGUAGUCUGCAACCCGACUACACGAAGCUGGAAUCGCUAGUAAUCGCGGAUCAGAAUGCCGCGGUGAAUACGUUCCCGGGUCUUGUACACACCGCCCGUCACACCAUGGGAGUCAGUAACGCCCGAAGUCGGUGACCUAACCGCAAGGAAGGAGCCGCCUAAGGUAAUACCAAUGACUGGGGUGAAGUCGUAACAAGGUAGC
rnacentral:rRNA from 1 species